AGUGGCAGACGGGUGAGUAACGCGUGGGAACCUACCUUAUAGUACGGAAUAGUCCCGGGAAACUGGGUUUAAUACCGUAUACGCUCUCCGGAGGAAAGAUUUAUCGCUAUAAGAUGGGCCCGCGUUAGAUUAGCUUGUUGGUGAGGUAAUGGCUCACCAAGGCAACGAUCUAUAGCUGGUUUGAGAGGAUGAUCAGCCACACUGGGACUGAGACACGGCCCAGACUUCUACGGGAGGCAGCAGUGGGGAAUAUUGGACAAUGGGCGAAAGCCUGAUCCAGCAAUACCGCGUGAGUGAUGAAGGCCUUAGGGUUGUAAAGCUCUUUCAGUAGGGAAGAUAAUGACGGUACCUACAGAAGAAGCACCGGCUAACUCCGUGCCAGCAGCCGCGGUAAUACGGAGGGUGCUAGCGUUGUUCGGAAUUACUGGGCGUAAAGAGUGCGUAGGCGGCUUAGCAAGUUAGGAGUGAAAUCCCGGGGCUUAACCUCGGAAUUGCUUUUAAAACUGCAGAGCUAGAGUGUGGUAGGGGACAGUGGAAUUCCUAGUGUAGGGGUGAAAUCCGUAGAUAUUAGGAGGAACACCAGAGGCGAAGGCGACUGUCUGGGCCAUUACUGACGCUAAGGCACGAAAGCGUGGGGAGCAAACAGGAUUAGAUACCCAGGUAGUCCACGCCGUAAACGAUGG
rnacentral:rRNA from 1 species